GCAUGGUGAAUUCAGUUGGUUAGAACGCCACAUCUUAUAAGACAUUACGUGAUAAAUGUGAAGUCGUAACCGUGGAAACGCGGGUUCAAUUCCUGCACUGGGCC